AAAAAGACAAACCUUGGUUUCCGUGUCCAACGUUUGACCGUCCGUCUUAUUUGAAAAAAAUUAUGAAAAAAAUUAAAAAGACAAGUCACGCAUAAAAUAUUAAUCAUGUUUUAUCAUCUAACAACAAUAAAAAUACGAAAUAUAAAAAAAUUUCAUAUAAGACGGACAGUUAAAGUUGGACACGGAAACCUAGAAUUUACU
rnacentral:pre_miRNA from 1 species